UUCUUCUCUUCCUUCCCUGUCCUUCUUUGGCUUUGCUACCUCUCUUCCCUUCCCAUUGUUUUUCCUCCCCCCUCCUAGGUUCUCACAUCGCUUUCCUGUUUCCCUCUCCUGCAAUAUGGAUUUGACAUAUUAAUCAUUACAGCAACUGCUAAAAUUCCACUGUGCUUCAUUAAUCCGGAGGAAAAUACCAUGUCAGCUGAGCUCAGAGACAGCGUCUAAGAGGGCGGCUGACAAUCUGCCUCAAACACAAACACAUGACAAAUAUAGUUCUGCAGUGAAGACUUUAGCCCCACGGGGAAAGCUGAGACUCAGGAGCCUGAUGGCAUAAACAAGGCGAAAGGCUUGGUAGCAAAUCAGAAGACUUGUUUUUGGAAGCUGAAAACUUACUUCGGCAACAACAGUCCUCCAUGGCUCCCUGUUUGUGCUCUUGCUGGCCAGGCCUGGGAAGCCCUCUUGGGGCCUCUGAGGCUUGUAACCAGCCCUGCUUAGAUAAUCCUUACAGCAGCAGCUCUGCACAGUAUCAUUCUCCCCUGUACAAAUGAAGAGACGGAAGCUCGAAUUCUCACACGACACCCUUGCAGCACUUGAACCACUCCAGGAUUCUCUUCUGCUGGUCACCCAACUAUUCUCCCAGGUCACCGGGGUUACUUACAAUCUUGGAUUUAGGGUUGCCAGAUUUAGCAAAUAAAAAUACAGCAUGCCUGGU
rnacentral:lncRNA from 1 species